rnacentral:lncRNA from 10 species
GGAAGUGGGGAAGGGAAGUGAGGGGUAGAGGAAGGCGGGUCCCUGGCUCGGCUCUACCCCCAUGGAUCUAGGUGGGCUCAAUGUCAUCACAAGGGUGCUUAAGAGGGAAAGAGGAAGCCAUGAGGGUCAGAGUCAAAGGAAGACUUGAAGAUACUACACUGCGGACUUUAAAGAUGAAGGAAGGGGCGAAAACCAAGAAUGUGGGAAGCCUCUAGAAGCUAGAGAAGGCAAGGAAACAAAUUUUCCACUAGAGCCUCCAGAAGGAACACAGCCCUGCUGACCCACUGUAAUGUCUGACCUCUAGAUGUGUAAGGGUAGUAAGACUGAAAGUCUCAGAAAGGCACUGUUAAAUUCUUAUUCCUCAACUAUGCAACUCAAAACUGGGGUCCUCAGCAGUGAGCGAGGGGUGAGAGAAGACACUGUAUAAACAUGGCACAUCCUCCUGGAAAGUCAACUUUACUCAAAGGUUCUUACACACAGUGACAGCUAGCAGAGUCUAAAAUGCUGACAUUAUGACUUAGAGAUGUGAUAAAGAGAAACAUCUAUUGCAUUUUCUGUAAGUAAAUGUGGUGCCGGCAUUGAGAGAACAUACGUAAUCAGAUACCUGUUCUCCCUGAGUUUCUUAAUUUAAGCCUCGCGAUUCCUAAUUAGCAGUUAGAUUGCAUCCAUUGUUAUUUUGUCUUUGGUUAUCAAUGAUGAUCAACCUUUGCUAAACAAAGAUAUGUCAUCAUGCUGGGGACACUCAUGGAUUUUUUUUUAAAGGUUUUAACAUUUGAUAAUAGGUUUUCCAAUAGCUUGAAGGGUAGCUUUUAACAUUUCUUUUCCAGCUGAAGUAUUUCCUGAGUUCUGUCCAAGCCCUCUGUAGUUAAAGAAAAGGCUUUUUGACACUGAAUAGACAAUGUUGUGGCUUUUUUUUUCCUUCUUCAGACAAAUGUAUAGGCAUUUAGACCGCCACGUUGUACUCUCGUAAUUGAGAUACCUUGCAGAAAUGGCAAUUAAGGGUGACUCGUGUCAAAAAUAUUCAGGACAAAUUACAUUUUACUGAUUUUUAAAAACUUUCAAAGGUACUCUCUCCUCUUUCUUUCUCCUUUCUCUCUUCCUGCCUCCCUCCCACCCGCUCCUCGUUUUUUCUUUUAAAUAUUAAGUAAACUAUUUGCAUUUUUACGUCUCAUCAAAGUUGUUCCAGGUUUUUUCUGGGUUUACUGAAACUCCAAAUCGACUACUCAGAUCAAAACAAUUAGUGAAGUCUAAGGUAUUCUUAAUUCCUGAAAUGAAAACAGAAUGGACGUUCGGGACGUUCUGUUUUGCUCUGGCUACCCGCUUGGCUUCUCGCUCAGAAUAUUCUUGCUCUCAAGUUAGUUCCAGUUCUGUUUAUUUUGUCCUGAGCUCAGUGAACUUUCCAAAGCCCUACUCUUCAAACAACACUUUUUUUCCCCCGCCCCGUGAGCUGGAGUUUAUUUUGUGCUCACCCUUCAUUCUGUGAGUUGUGAAUAAUUUUAACACAAAGAAAAAAAAAUCUCCUCCUGACCACGGAGAGAAGAGGGGAUUUUAGAAUAAAGAUAAAAAUUGCUGUUUUAGCCCCCAAAGCAAAGGACUUGGGAAAGAAGAGAAAAGGGGGGAAAAUAGAACAGCAAAGGAAAAAAAAAAAAAAAAAAAA